rnacentral:lncRNA from 1 species
GAGCUAUUUGCUAUCCAAGGAAUUAACCAUGGAGUUGCAUGUCAUAGUAGCAAUUGUGGGUUUGUUUGCAGGAUCCUGUCAAGAAGACAUGGUAAACCUCAUCAUGAUCAAGAAUGAGACUUUGCUUGCAUCCAGGCAUUCAGUUAAGAAAUGAUGUUUUCCCAACCAAGGCUAGCUUCCCAAAAGUUGUUUGAUAGUAUACAGGCAUGAGAUGGUGUGACUCUAACUCAUUAGAUGCCUUCGUCUUUUCAGUCAUGAUGUGAUGGAAAGAAAGCUAUCAACUUCAUUCCUGAGACUUCCUGCAACACAGGUCCUGAUACACAUCUGGUCAGAACCAUGGUACCCCUCCACAAUCCACGCCAGGAAAUUGGAUGUCUACUCCCUGCCUUUCUUCCCAUUGUUUGGGGACUUUUCCUUAGUUCAGCUGAAGACGGGGUCCUUGUCACACGGCCACGAAAAUUUAGGCUUGCAGAUUAUUUGAAGGGAAUCCAAACAAAAGCUUUAGAAGAAACACCUGGAAAAAUAGUAUCUCCACUUUGAAAAUGCAGAAAUACAGGCAUAAUACAAUGGUGAAAUUUAUAUCAGCUUGCCCCUAAAGCAGUUUUCCUCACGGUCACUAAAUGGCUGCUGCCAACCAGAAACACAUCAUAAGCAGCAUCCAUCUAAACUUUUACUUCAUUGGAGGGUCCUUCCUGACCCAUGCAACUCAACAAAAAACUCUCACAGUUUUUAUAUGCUUUGUUGGGGAUUAACCCAUCUUGCAUUGCAUUGCUAGCUUAGUAUGUCUAGCAUGGGCAUGCCUGCUGAAGUUUGGAACUUCCCAUCAAGGAAACAGGAAAAUGCCAUUGGCAAUGAGCUGAAGACUGAUUUACUCUACCAGGUUGGAACAUCUGUUAUUGCUGCUACUACGGUUUCUAUCACUGUUUGAUGCUGGGACUCUUAAGCUCCAACCACGUUUUCACCGAGCUGAGUCGCCUUCUUAUCACCCCUUUCUGGUGA